GGAAUUUUGUGCAGAACCACCGCUUCCGGAACCUUGUGUUACCGGAACUAGGCGCGGAAGUUCCCUUCGUUGCCACCCGACGCAACUCUGAAGUUACGCUUCCGGUAAGGGAAAAUGGCCGCGGCCGUUCAAAACUCACGUGUGAGUGCGGGGAAAAAGCUGAAAAAUUCCUUAAAGAGAAAAAAGAAGAUGAAAAUGGUAGCCAGGGCUGUGACAUCGAAGCUGGAAGAUGAGGGCAAAGACGCUUCCGACAGUGAAGGUAAUGUAUUAAGGCUGAGCUUCGGCGUCUGAGAGGAAACACUAGGCUCAGUUCCCGGGAAGCCCGAUGUCAGUGUGCUUGGUGGAAGCCGC
rnacentral:lncRNA from 1 species